CCUACGGGAGGCAGCAGUGGGGAAUAUUGCACAAUGGGCGGAAGCCUGAUGCAGCGACGCCGCGUGAGGGAUGAAGGCCUUCGGGUUGUAAACCUCUUUCAGCAGGGACGAAGCGUGAGUGACGGUACCUGCAGAAGAAGCACCGGCUAACUACGUGCCAGCAGCCGCGGUAAUACGUAGGGUGCGAGCGUUGUCCGGAAUUACUGGGCGUAAAGAGUUCGUAGGCGGUUUGUCGCGUCGUUUGUGAAAACCCGGGGCUCAACUUCGGGCUUGCAGGCGAUACGGGCAGACUUGAGUGUUUCAGGGGAGACUGGAAUUCCUGGUGUAGCGGUGAAAUGCGCAGAUAUCAGGAGGAACACCGGUGGCGAAGGCGGGUCUCUGGGAAACAACUGACGCUGAGGAACGAAAGCGUGGGUAGCAAACAGGAUUAGAUACCCUGGUAGUCCACGCCGUAAACGGUGGCGCUAGGUGUGGGUCUUCCACGGAGUCUGUGCCGUAGCUAACGCAUUAAGCGCCCGCCCUGGGGUAGGUACGGCCGCGACGACGAACGUAACGAACGAAGUAGACGGCGUGUGAGUUGCGACGACGACGACGAGGAGGAGG
rnacentral:rRNA from 1 species